GUUACAAAAUGAUCGGAGGAAUGUAGCUUCGACUUCGGUUGAAGUGUUAUAGCUUUGGUAGAUGUAACGGUUGGGACCGAGGAUUGCAAUGAAUACCCUAACGGGCUAUCCUCUGGUCUCUGAUUUAGUGACUCUGGCAUUGAAAGCGUGCUUACGAUGUUAGAGUAUGCGUCAAUAGGUUAGAACGGAUUAAAUUUGUUAAGGAUGCUGACGUAAUGGCUUUAAACGA
rnacentral:rRNA from 1 species